UAGCAAAACCUCAAACUGCUCUCCCUUCCGAUAGCACAUAUUGCUUUCCUGUUUAUUCACACUUCCUCUUUCUUCAUUCUUUGCUUGCUUCAGAUGAGAGAUCUUCCACGUCAGUCUGCUGCCUUAUGUAUUGUACAGAGGGGAAUAUUUUGUGGGGACUUGGAAGACCUUCUGGCUACUGCUUGAACUCUGCAAUCCAGACUGUACAAAUCUGGAAACUCCCUUCAAGUGAAAAAAAAAUAUUUUAUAUGUUUCUCAAGGAAUAGGGAAAAUAUACUGUUGAUUCACUAGGGAAAGAAAAUACCAUCAUUAACUAGGAUGAAAAACAUAGUGAGAAUGUAAUUAGAGGCAUCAAAAAAAAAUGAAAAAUUGCAGCCUUCAACUCUGUCCCAAAUGCUAGUAACAGAAAAAGGCAAAACCUUUUUAAAGAAAAGAAACUGGAGAGUGAAAAGGAUGAGACCUUGAAUUUGUGAUGGUGAAAAAAGGUAAAGUUAGUAUCUACAAUGAUAGACAUAUACAGUAAAAGAGAGAGGGGAUGCUUUUCCAUGAGAUCUUAAAAAAGAUACAGCUGGGAACAAAAGACCAAAGCAAAACUAAUGGAGGAUGAAACCAUAUCUUUUGAAAAA